GCGGGUACUCGAGUGGCGAACGGGUGAGUAACACGUGGGUGAUCUGCCUUGCACUUCGGGAUAAGCUUGGGAAACUGGGUCUAAUACCGGAUAGGACAGCUGUUUAGUGUCAGUUGUGGAAAGUUUUUUCGGUGCAAGAUGAGCUCGCGGCCUAUCAGCUUGUUGGUGGGGUAAUGGCCUACCAAGGCGUCGACGGGUAGCCGGCCUGAGAGGGUGUACGGCCACAUUGGGACUGAGAUACGGCCCAGACUCCUACGGGAGGCAGCAGUGGGGAAUAUUGCACAAUGGGCGGAAGCCUGAUGCAGCGACGCCGCGUGGGGGAUGAAGGCCUUCGGGUUGUAAACUCCUUUCGACAGGGACGAAGCGUAAGUGACGGUACCUGUAUAAGAAGCACCGGCUAACUACGUGCCAGCAGCCGCGGUAAUACGUAGGGUGCGAGCGUUGUCCGGAAUUACUGGGCGUAAAGAGCUCGUAGGUGGUUUGUCGCGUCGUCUGUGAAAUUCCGGGGCUUAACUCCGGGCGUGCAGGCGAUACGGGCUGACUUGAGUGCUGUAGGGGAGACUGGAAUUCCUGGUGUAGCGGUGAAAUGCGCAGAUAUCAGGAGGAACACCGAUGGCGAAGGCAGGUCUCUGGGCAGUAACUGACGCUGAGGAGCGAAAGCAUGGGUAGCGAACAGGAUUAGAUACCCUGGUAGUCCAUGCCGUAAACGGUGGGCGCUAGGUGUAGGGGGCUUCCACGUCUUCUGUGCCGUAGCUAACGCAUUAAGCGCCCCGCCUGGGGAGUACGCCGCAAGGCUA
rnacentral:rRNA from 1 species